GGGCCCGCACAAGCAGCGGAGCAUGUGGUUUAAUUCGAAGCAACGCGAAGAACCUUACCAGGGCUUGACAUCCACUUAAAACAAGAGAGAUCUUGCGUGUACUUCGGUACAAAGUGAGACAGGUGGUGCAUGGUUGUCGUCAGCUCGUGUCGUGAGAUGUUGGGUUAAGUCCCGCAACGAGCGCAACCCUUACCUUUAGUUGCUAACAAGUAGAGUUGAGCACUCUAGAGGGACCGCCGAGGCUAACUCGGAGGAAGGUGGGGAUGAUGUCAAAUCAUCAUGCCCCUUAUGUCCUGGGCUACACACGUGCUACAAUGGGCAGCACAAAGAGAAGCGAAGUCGUAAGGCAGAGCGGAACUCAAAAAGCUGUUCUCAGUUCGGAUCGUGGGCUGCAACCGCCACGUGAAGUCGGAGUUGCUAGUAAUCGCGAAUCAGCAUGUCG
rnacentral:rRNA from 1 species